GGGUGAGUAAUAUAUCGGAACGUGCCCAGUCGUGGGGGAUAACGCAGCGAAAGCUGUGCUAAUACCGCAUACGAUCUCUGGAUGAAAGCGGGGGACUCGCAAGGGCCUCGCGCGAUUGGAGCGGCCGAUAUCAGAUUAGCUAGUUGGUGGGGUAAAAGCCCACCAAGGCGACGAUCUGUAGCUGGUCUGAGAGGACGACCAGCCACACUGGAACUGAGACACGGUCCAGACUCCUACGGGAGGCAGCAGUGGGGAAUUUUGGACAAUGGGCGCAAGCCUGAUCCAGCAAUGCCGCGUGCAGGAUGAAGGCCUUCGGGUUGUAAACUGCUUUUGUACGGAACGAAAAGGUCUGCCUUAAUACGGUGGGCUCAUGACGGUACCGUAAGAAUAAGCACCGGCUAACUACGUGCCAGCAGCCGCGGUAAUACGUAGGGUGCGAGCGUUAAUCGGAAUUACUGGGCGUAAAGCGUGCGCAGGCGGUUAUAUAAGACAGAUGUGAAAUCCCCGGGCUCAACCUGGGACCUGCAUUUGUGACUGUAUAGCUAGAGUACGGUAGAGGGGGAUGGAAUUCCGCGUGUAGCA
rnacentral:rRNA from 1 species